rnacentral:tRNA from 1 species
GCCUUCGUGGUGUAAUGGUCAGCACACUGAGCCGGUAUUUCAGAGGUCCGUGGUUCGAUCCCCGGCGAAUGCA